rnacentral:lncRNA from 1 species
UGCAUGGGUCCUUCGCUGGCUUGUCUCCGGUGGUUUUUGUCCGAUGAUUCCUUCUAUGGCAUUAUAUUCGAGUUUCACGGCCAGGUUCUUCGCUUUUCCUAAUUUGUUUGCAAACCCUAACUUUUCUACUCAAACCUCUUUAAUCUGUGCUCUUUUAAAAAAAAACAAUUCUCAGUUUGAUAUUGUUUUCUACUCUAUUUCUUACUUAGUGUGUCCGAUUAUUUCAAAUUUCAGAUGGUUUCUUCUCUUUUCAAAUUGGGGUUUCUGAUCCCCUUUUUCAAAAUCGCUUCUUCUGCUCUUUCUGAGUACUAUAUAUUCGUUUGUAUUUGUUUGUUUAACUUGCUUGUUUGGUUUCCUCGUUAACCUGGGUUCCAUGCUUUAAUUUUUCUUGCUAGGGUUUCCGACUCCCUUUCAAGAUCACUACAUCUUCUGCUUCCUUUGAGUAUUAUGUAUGCAUGUAUUACAUGUUUGUUUUGUUACGAGCAUGUUUGUUUCUGAGUUCCAUGCUUUAAGCUUUUUUACUAGGGUUCCAACCCUCUACUCUUUUAUGAUUUCUUGCACAAUGUUCUUUGAUUUUCACGCCUAUUGUGUUUAUAGUUCUAUUUGAUAUUCGAAUGAUUCUGUGCAUCUCUUUGAAUCCCUAAUAAGUAUGUGUUUUCCUUAAUGGUUCUUACACUGAUUUCUUAAACUAUUUCCUUGCUUGUGAAAUGUUAUCUAUGGUUAGCACUGAUUCCCUCUGAUUUUUAGUCCCGUCUGUAAUUCUUUGACUAAUUUCAAAGUUAAUUUUGUAUUCUUACCAUAUUCUUGCUCUGAAAUAUUUUUUUUACAAUAUUCAGUAUAUGUUUUCCUUGAUUGAGUAUUAUGUAUUUGGCCUCUAUUACAUACUACAUGCCUACUACUUUAUUAUGGUGUAAUUAGUCGUCUGAUUGAUUCUUUCCUUAUAUGAUAUAACUGCAUUCCCAUUCGAAUCAUGAAUCCCAGAUUAAUUUGAAUUAAGGUCUUGUGAUUGAUUCAAAUUGGUAUUGUUCUAUAAUUAGGUACAUGUUACCCUAUUCGCUACUAUUUUUCAAAACUAUAAGUACUACUCUUCUCUUCUCACUUGAAACACACAGACACGAAUACAAUCUCUCUAAACUUUCUUUCAGAAACACUCAGUGCUCUCUCUAUACCGUUUUCUGUACAAACUCUCUCAUUCUUCUAUUGGAUAUUGGCUACUCAAUCGGCUGAAAGCCAAGAUUGUGUAAUUUUGGUUGUUUUACUCUACUACUGGGGAUCUACUGUAUUGUUUGCUUUGGUUUAUCUGCUGCUUACCUCUCUGCACAUUGCUGCUCUUCUCUCUGCAUACUCUUUACACAUUACUGCUCUCCUCUGUGAAUUAUUUUUCACCACUACUGUGUUACAUUAGCUUCAACUGGUAUGUAACCUCUUUAAGUUACAGCCUCCAAAAUAAUAUGCUCCUAUCAGUUUUGCACUUCCUCUUGCUUCUUGUGUGUUUUUACUUAUCGUU